CUCCAUAAGCCGGUGCAGCUGACACGACUUCUUACCUCUCUUUCUCUCAGACAGCAUCUCGUACAUCAUGCCCUGCUUGUGUUGGAAAACGCAAACAAGUGAGAAAGGCGUGUCUGUGAGCCUAUGGCUCAGUGCUCUGCUCUGUAAACUACUACCGAAGGACCAUUGUGCCGGGAACGACCAGACUCUCCUACCCAAAGGGGAAGCAUGCACAGUAAGAAGUAAACAAAACAGUACCUAAGGAAGAGAUAGCUGAUGAUCAAUAAAUUGAAGAUGCCG
rnacentral:lncRNA from 1 species